rnacentral:rRNA from 1 species
CCCUUCGGGGUUAGUGGCGCACGGGUGCGUAACGCGUGGGAAUCUGCCCUUUGCUUCGGAAUAACAGUUAGAAAUGACUGCUAAUACCGGAUGAUGUCUUCGGACCAAAGAUUUAUCGGCAAGGGAUGAGCCCGCGUAGGAUUAGGUAGUUGGUGAGGUAAAGGCCUACCAAGCCGACGAUCCUUAGCUGGUCUGAGAGGAUGAUCAGCCACACUGGGACUGAGACACGGCCCAGACUCCAACGGGAGGCAGCAGUGGGGAAUAUUGGACAAUGGGCGAAAGCCUGAUCCAGCAAUGCCGCGUGAGUGAUGAAGGCCUUAGGGUCGUAAAGCUCUUUUACCAGGGAUGAUAAUAACAGUACCUGGAGAAUAAGCUCCGGCUAACUCCGUGCCAGCAGCCGCGGUAAUACGGAGGGAGCUAGCGUUGUUCGGAAUUACUGGGCGUAAAGCGUACGUAGGCGGUUAUUCAAGUCAGAGGUGAAAGCCCGGGGCUCAACCCCGGAACUGCCUUUGAAACUAGG